GGCAAGAGGCUUUCCCACGGCUACAUUGCUCACGUGUGACGGUCCGGAAGCUGAGCUCUGAUACUGGACUCCUGGUAAAGUGCUCAUCCCAGCUCCACGCAAGACGAGGAGCAUGGUCUUGUGAUACUGAGGACACGGAUCCCUGCUUUCUACAGAUGAGAAACAUGAAGACCCAACAGGUACAAUGACUCACUUAAGGUCACACGGCUAGUAAGCAGAGUCGUGUGGAUUUGAAUCCAUGUCUUCCAGAUUCUCUUCUCUGUUCCAGACUUACUGAAGCUCAAAGAAUAUCCACCGGGUAUAAAAUUCUGAUUAAGAGAUUUGGCUCUAGCAAGACUGUCAAGAUCUGUACCUGGAUCUUCUGCUUGUCAAUAGUGUGGCCUUAGAGACUAGACCAGGGGCAAUUAGCAAGCCCUGGCAAGCUGCCAUUCAAAAGAGAACGAGAACAAGGCUGAUACCCUAGGAACCCAGGAGAAGUUUUCCGGAGGAGUACGUGUUAGAGGAUUCACUCGAGCCAAGUUUCAAGGAAAUUCACAAAGUUUAAAUAAUCCGAAUGGCACAACUCCUACGAGAGUCCCUGUGACCGAUGAAGUCAAGAGAAAGUCAGCAGGGAGGAGUGCACAUGCUUCCUGAGGAACAGAGAAUUUCAGAAACAUCAGGAGAGAAAGGAGGGAAAGGGGGUAUCUAUGCCACGAAACACAG